rnacentral:rRNA from 1 species
GAUGAACGCUGGCGGCGUGCCUAAUACAUGCAAGUCGAGCGGUAAGGCUUUCACUCUGUAUUUAAUGAGUUGAAUAUAGUGUGAAAGUACACGAGCGGCGGACGGCUGAGUAACGCGUAGGAACGUACCCCAAAGUGAGGGAUAAGCACCGGAAACGGUGUCUAAUACCGCAUGUGAUCUUCGGAUUAAAGCUUUAUGCGCUUUGGGAGCGGCCUGCGUAAGAUUAGUUUGUUGGUGAGGUAAUGGCUCACCAAGACUACGAUCUUUAGCUGGUCUGAGAGGAUGAUCAGCCAGACUGGGACUGAGACACGGCCCAGACUCCUACGGGAGGCAGCAGUAGGGAAUUUUCACAAUGGACGAAAGUCUGAUGGAGCAACGCCGCGUGCAGGAUGAAGGCC